rnacentral:rRNA from 1 species
UACAGAGACCUCAAGCAUUAUCCGGAUUUAUUGGGCGUAAAGGGUCCGCAGGUGGCCCGGUGCGUCUUGCGUCAAAUGUUGGGGCUCAACUCCGACACUGCGCGAGAUACGAUCGGGCUAGAGCAUGGGAGAGGUAAGCGGAAUUGCCGGUGUAGUAGUAAUAUGCGUUAAUAUCGGCAAGAACACCAAAUGCGAAGGCAGCUUACUGGAACAUUGCUGACACUCAGGGACGAAAGCGUGGGGAGCGAAA